rnacentral:rRNA from 1 species
UUUCGAAUCAUUCACAAUGGGCGAAAGCCUGAUGGUGCAACGCCGCGUGGGGGAUGAAGGUCUUCGGAUCGUAAACCCCUGUCACCAGGGACUAAACUCUUAACGUUAAUACCGUUAAGAUUGCAUUAACCUGGAGAGGAAGGAGUGGCUAACUCUGUGCCAGCAGCCGCGGUAAUACAGAGACUCCAAGCGUUAUUCGGAUUCACUGGGCGUAAAGGGUGCGCAGGCGGUCAGGUGUGUCAGAUGUGAAAGCUCCGGGCUUAACCCGGAAAUUGCUUCUGAAACUAUUUGGCUAGAGUAUUGGAGAGGGAAGCGGAAUUCUCGGUGUAGCGGUGAAAUGCGUAGAUAUCGAGAGGAACACCAAAGGCGAAGGCAGCUUCCUGGACAAUUACUGACGCUCAUGCACGAAAGCGUGGGUAGCGAAAGGG